UGGAAGCGUCUGGAAAGGCGUGCGAUACAGGGUGACAGCCCCGUACACAAAAAUGCACAUACUGUGAGCUCGAUGAGUAGGGCGGGACACGUGGUAUCCUGUCUGAAUAUGGGGGGACCAUCCUCCAAGGCUAAAUACUCCUGACUGACCGAUAGUGAACCAGUACCGUGAGGGAAAGGCGAAAAGAACCCCGGCGAGGGGAGUGAAAAAGAACCUGAAACCGUGUACGUACAAGCAGUGGGAGCACGCUUAGGCGUGUGACUGCGUACCUUUUGUAUAAUGGGUCAGCGACUUAUAUUCUGUAGCAAGGUUAACCGAAUAGGGGAGCCGAAGGGAAACCGAGUCUUAACUGGGCGUUAAGUUGCAGGGUAUAGACCCGAAACCCGGUGAUCUAGCCAUGGGCAGGUUGAAGGUUGGGUAACACUAACUGGAGGACCGAACCGACUAAUGUUGAAAAAUUAGCGGAUGACUUGUGGCUGGGGGUGAAAGGCCAAUCAAACCGGGAGAUAGCUGGUUCUCCCCGAAAGCUAUUUAGGUAGCGCCUCGUGAAUUCAUCUCCGGGGGUAGAGCACUGUUUCGGCAAGGGGGUCAUCCCGACUUACCAACCCGAUGCAAACUGCGAAUACCGGAGAAUGUUAUCACGGGAGACACACGGCGGGUGCUAACGUCCGUCGUGAAGAGGGAAACAACCCAGACCGCCAGCUAAGGUCCCAAAGUCAUGGUUAAGUGGGAAACGAUGUGGGAAGGCCCAGACAGCCAGGAUGUUGGCUUAGAAGCAGCCAUCAUUUAAAGAAAGCGUAAUAGCUCACUGGUCGAGUCGGCCUGCGCGGAAGAUGUAACGGGGCUAAACCAUGCACCGAAGCUGCGGCAGCGACGCUUAUGCGUUGUUGGGUAGGGGAGCGUUCUGUAAGCCUGUGAAGGUGUGCUGUGAGGUAUGCUGGAGGUAUCAGAAGUGCGAAUGCUGACAUAAGUAACGAUAAAGCGGGUGAAAAGCCCGCUCGCCGGAAGACCAAGGGUUCCUGUCCAACGUUAAUCGGGGCAGGGUGAGUCGACCCCUAAGGCGAGGCCGAAAGGCGUAGUCGAUGGGAAACAGGUUAAUAUUCCUGUACUUGGUGUUACUGCGAAGGGGGGACGGAGAAGGCUAUGUUGGCCGGGCGACGGUUGUCCCGGUUUAAGCGUGUAGGCUGGUUUUCCAGGCAAAUCCGGAAAAUCAAGGCCGAGGCGUGAUGACGAGGCACUACGGUGCUGAAGCAACAAAUGCCCUGCUUCCAGGAAAAGCCUCUAAGCAUCAGGUAACAUCAAAUCGUACCCCAAACCGACACAGGUGGUCAGGUAGAGAAUACCAAGGCGCUUGAGAGAACUCGGGUGAAGGAACUAGGCAAAAUGGUGCCGUAACUUCGGGAGAAGGCACGCUGAUACGUAGGUGAAGCGACUUGCUCGUGGAGCUGAAAUCAGUCGAAGAUACCAGCUGGCUGCAACUGUUUAUUAAAAACACAGCACUGUGCAAACACGAAAGUGGACGUAUACGGUGUGACGCCUGCCCGGUGCCGGAAGGUUAAUUGAUGGGGUUAGCGCAAGCGAAGCUCUUGAUCGAAGCCCCGGUAAACGGCGGCCGUAACUAUAACGGUCCUAAGGUAGCGAAAUUCCUUGUCGGGUAAGUUCCGACCUGCACGAAUGGCGUAAUGAUGGCCAGGCUGUCUCCACCCGAGACUCAGUGAAAUUGAACUCGCUGUGAAGAUGCAGUGUACCCGCGGCAAGACGGAAAGACCCCGUGAACCUUUACUAUAGCUUGACACUGAACAUUGAGCCUUGAUGUGUAGGAUAGGUGGGAGGCUUUGAAGUGUGGACGCCAGUCUGCAUGGAGCCGACCUUGAAAUACCACCCUUUAAUGUUUGAUGUUCUAACGUGGACCCGUGAUCCGGGUUGCGGACAGUGUCUGGUGGGUAGUUUGACUGGGGCGGUCUCCUCCUAAAGAGUAACGGAGGAGCACGAAGGUUGGCUAAUCCUGGUCGGACAUCAGGAGGUUAGUGCAAUGGCAUAAGCCAGCUUGACUGCGAGCGUGACGGCGCGAGCAGGUGCGAAAGCAGGUCAUAGUGAUCCGGUGGUUCUGAAUGGAAGGGCCAUCGCUCAACGGAUAAAAGGUACUCCGGGGAUAACAGGCUGAUACCGCCCAAGAGUUCAUAUCGACGGCGGUGUUUGGCACCUCGAUGUCGGCUCAUCACAUCCUGGGGCUGAAGUAGGUCCCAAGGGUAUGGCUGUUCGCCAUUUAAAGUGGUACGCGAGCUGGGUUUAGAACGUCGUGAGACAGUUCGGUCCCUAUCUGCCGUGGGCGCUGGAGAACUGAGGGGGGCUGCUCCUAGUACGAGAGGACCGGAGUGGACGCAUCACUGGUGUUCGGGUUGUCAUGCCAAUGGCACUGCCCGGUAGCUAAAUGCGGAAGAGAUAAGUGCUGAAAGCAUCUAAGCACGAAACUUGC
rnacentral:rRNA from 1 species